UAGGGAAUUUUGCGCAAUGGGGGAAACCCUGACGCAGCAACGCCGCGUGAUUGAUGAAGCCCUUCGGGGUGUAAAGAUCUGUCAGUGGGGACGAAACUUGACGGUACCCACAGAGGAAGCACCGGCUAACUCCGUGCCAGCAGCCGCGGUAAUACGGAGGGUGCAAGCGUUGUCCGGAAUCAUUGGGCGUAAAGAGUUCGUAGGUGGUUUAUUAAGUCUGGUGUUAAAUACCGGGGCUCAACUCCGGCAGGGCACUGGAUACUGGUAGACUUGAAUGCGGUAGAGGUAAAGGGAAUUCCUGGUGUAGCGGUGAAAUGCGUAGAUAUCAGGAGGAACAUCGGUGGCGUAAGCGCUUUACUGGGCCGUAAUUGACACUGAGGAACGAAAGCCAGGGUAGCAAAUGGG
rnacentral:rRNA from 1 species